UACGUAGGGGGCAAGCGUUGUCCGGAUUUAUUGGGCGUAAAGAGCGUGUAGGCGGCCAGGUAGGUCCGUUGUGAAAACUCGAGGCUCAACCUCGAGACGCCGAUGGAAACCAUCUGGCUAGAGUCCGGAAGAGGAGAGUGGAAUUCCCGGUGUAGCGGUGAAAUGACGCAGAGUAUCGGGAAGAACACCCGUGGCUAAGGCGGCUCUCUAGUACGGUACUGACGCUGAGACGCGAAAGCGUGGGAGCGAACGAGG
rnacentral:rRNA from 1 species